GUAGGGAGCAAGCGUUGUUCGGAAUUAUUGGGCGUAAAGAGCGCGUAGGCGGCUUGGGCAAGUCUGGUGUGAAAUCUCACAGCUCAACUGUGAAACUGCAUCAGAAACUGCCAGGCUUGAGUGCGGGAGAGGAAAGUGGAAUUCCCAGUGUAGAGGUGAAAUUCGUAGAUACUGGGAGGAACACCGGUGGCGAAGGCGGCUUUCUGGACCGCAACUGACGCUGAGGCGCGAAAGCUAGGGGAGCAAACGGGAUUAGAUACCCCGGUAGUCCUAGCCGUAAACGAUGGGCACUAGGUGUAGGGGGUAUUGACCCCUUCUGUGCCGCAGCUAACGCAUUAAGUGCCCCGCCUGGGGAGUACGGUCGCAAGACUA
rnacentral:rRNA from 1 species